rnacentral:rRNA from 1 species
GGAAUCUUCCACAAUGGGCGCAAGCCUGAUGGAGCAACACCGCGUGAGUGAAGAAGGGUUUCGGCUCGUAAACCUCUGUUGUUAAAGCAGAACGUAUCUAAGAGUAACUGCUUAGGUAGUGACGGUAUUUAACCAGAAAGCCACGGCUAACUACGUGCCAGCAGCCGCGGUAAUACGUAGGUGGCAAGCGUUAUCCGGAUUUAUUGGGCGUAAAGCGAGCGCAGGCGGUUUUUUAAGUCUGAUGUGAAAGCCUUCGGCUUAACCGAAGAAGUGCAUCGGAAACUGGGAAACUUGAGUGCAGAAGAGGACAGUGGAACUCCAUGUGUAGCGGUGAAAUGCGUAGAUAUAUGGAAGAACACCAGUGGCGAAGGCGGUCUACUGGACAGUAACUGACGCUGAGGCGCGAAAGCGUGGGGAGCAAACA